rnacentral:rRNA from 1 species
CGGGACGGGUGAGUAACGCGUGGGUAACCGUGCCUCAUACAGGGGGAUAACAGUUGGAAACGACUGCUAAUACCGCAUAAGCGCACAGUACCGCAUGGUACCGUGUGAAAAACUCUGGUGGUAUGAGAUGGACCCGCGUCUGAUUAGCUAGUUGGUGGGGUAACGGCCUACCAAGGCGACGAUCAGUAGCCGACCUGAGAGGGUGACCGGCCACAUUGGGACUGAGACACGGCCCAA